GAUGAACGCUGGCGGCGUGCCUAAUACAUGCAAGUCGAGCGAACAGAUGAGGAGCUUGCUCCUCUGACGUUAGCGGCGGACGGGUGAGUAGCACGUGGAUAACCUACCUAUAAGACUGGGAUAACUUCGGGAAACCGGAGCUAAUACCGGAUAAUAUAUUGAACCGCAUGGUUCAAUAGUGAAAGACGGUUUUGCUGUCACUUAUAGAUGGAUCCGCGCCGCAUUAGCUAGUUGGUAAGGUAACGGCUUACCAAGGCAACGAUGCGUAGCCGACCUGAGAGGGUGAUCGGCCACACUGGAACUGAGACACGGUCCAGACUCCUACGGGAGGCAGCAGUAGGGAAUCUUCCGCAAUGGGCGAAAGCCUGACGGAGCAACGCCGCGUGAGUGAUGAAGGUCUUCGGAUCGUAAAACUCUGUUAUUAGGGAAGAACAAAUGCGUAAGUAACUAUGCACGUCUUGACGGUACCUAAUCAGAAAGCCACGGCUAACUACGUG
rnacentral:rRNA from 1 species